UACGGGGGGGGGCAAGCGUUGUUCGGAAUUACUGGGCGUAAAGGGCUCGUAGGCGGCCAACUAAGUCGGACGUGAAAUCCCUCGGCUCAACCGGGGAACUGCGUCCGAUACUGGAUGGCUUGAGUUCGGGAGAGGGAUGCGGAAUUCCAGGUGUAGCGGUGAAAUGCGUAGAUAUCUGGAGGAACACCGGUGGCGAAGGCGGCAUCCUGGACCGACACUGACGCUGAGGAGCGAAAGCCAGGGGAGCAAAACGGGG
rnacentral:rRNA from 1 species